GAUUAACGCUGGCGGCGUGCCUAACACAUGCAAGUCGAACGGCAGCACGGGAGCAAUCCUGGUGGCGAGUGGCGAACGGGUGAGUAAAGUAUCGGAACGUGCCCAGUCGUGGGGGAUAACGUAGCGAAAGUUACGCUAAUACCGCAUACGAUCUAUGGAUGAAAGCGGGGGAUCGCAAGACCUCGCGCGAUUGGAGCGGCCGAUAUCAGAUUAGGUAGUUGGUGGGGUAAAGGCUCACCAAGCCGACGAUCUGUAGCUGGUCUGAGAGGACGACCAGCCACACUGGGACUGGGACACGGCCCAGACUCCUACGGGAGGCAGCAGUGGGGAAUUUUGGACAAUGGGCGAAAGCCUGAUCCAGCCAUGCCGCGUGCAGGAUGAAGGCCUUCGGGUUGUAAACUGCUUUUGUACGGAACGAAAAGGUUUGGCCUAAUAAGCUGAGCUCAUGACGGUACCGUAAGAAUAAGCACCGGCUAACUACGUGCCAGCCGCCGCAGUAA
rnacentral:rRNA from 1 species